ACAGGGAUUGCCCUAGUAACGGCGAGUGAAGCGGCAACAGCUCAAAUUUGAAAUCUGGCGUCUUCGGCGUCCGAGUUGUAAUUUGCAGAGGGCGCUUUGGCAUUGGCAGCGGUCCAAGUUCCUUGGAACAGGACGUCACAGAGGGUGAGAAUCCCGUACGUGGUCGCUAGCCUUUACCGUGUAAAGCCCCUUCGACGAGUCGAGUUGUUUGGGAAUGCAGCUCUAAAUGGGAGGUAAAUUUCUUCUAAAGCUAAAUACUGGCCAGAGACCGAUAGCGCACAAGUAGAGUGAUCGAAAGAUGAAAAGCACUUUGGAAAGAGAGUUAAAAAGCACGUGAAAUUGUUGAAAGGGAAGCGCUUGCAGCCAGACUUGCCUGUAGUUGCUCAUCCGGGUUUUUACCCGGUGCACUCUUCUAUAGGCAGGCCAGCAUCAGUUUGGGCGGUUGGAUAAAGGUCUCUGUCAUGUACCUCUCUUCGGGGAGAACUUAUAGGGGAGACGACAUGCAACCAGCCUGGACUGAGGUCCGCGCAUCUGCUAGGAUGCUGGCGUAAUGGCUGUAAGCGGCCCGUCUUGAAACACGGACCAAGGAGUCUAACAUCUAUGCGAGUGUUUGGGUGUCAAGCCCGAGCGCGUAAUGAAAGUGAACGGAGGUGGGAACCUUUCGGGGUGCACCAUCGACCGAUCCUGAUGUCUUCGGAUGGAUUUGAGUAAGAGCAUAGCUGUUGGGACCCGAAAGAUGGUGAACUAUGCUUGAAUAGGGUGAAGCCAGAGGAAACUCUGGUGGAGGCUCGCAGCGGUUCUGACGUGCAAAUCGAUCGUCAAAUUUGGGCAUAGGGGCGAAAGACUAAUCGAACUAUCUAGUAGCUGGUUCCUGCCGA
rnacentral:rRNA from 1 species